rnacentral:ncRNA from 2 species
GUAGAUGCCAACCUUGGUUGGCGCUCUACCGUGAAUCCCGAUGCCGGCGGCAUCGUGCCAACCAAGGUUGGCACCUAC